GAUGAACGCUGGCGGCGUGCCUAAUACAUGCAAGUCGAGCGAACGGACGAGAAGCUUGCUUCUCUGAUGUUAGCGGCGGACGGGUGAGUAACACGUGGAUAACCUACCUAUAAGACUGGGAUAACUUCGGGAAACCGGAGCUAAUACCGGAUAAUAUUUUGAACCGCAUGGUUCAAAAGUGAAAGACGGUCUUGCUGUCACUUAUAGAUGGAUCCGCGCUGCAUUAGCUAGUUGGUAAGGUAACGGCUUACCAAGGCAACGAUGCAUAGCCGACCUGAGAGGGUGAUCGGCCACACUGGAACUGAGACACGGUCCAGACUCCUACGGGAGGCAGCAGUAGGGAAUCUUCCGCAAUGGGCGAAAGCCUGACCGAGCAACGCCGCGUGAGUGAUGAAGGUCUUCCGAUCGUAAAACUCUGUUAUUAGGGAAGAACAUAUGUGUAAGUAACUGUGCACAUCUUGACGGUACCUAAUCAGAAAGCCACGGCUAACUACGUGCCAGCAGCCGCGGUAAUACGUAGGUGGCAAGCGUUAUCCGGAAUUAUUGGGCGUAAAGCGCGCGUAGGCGGUUUUUUAGUCUGAUGUGAAAGCCCACGGCUCAACCGUGGAGGGUCAUUGGAAACUGGAAAACUUGAGUGCAGAAGAGGAAAGUGGAAUUCCAUGUGUAGCGGUGAAAUGCGCAGAGAUAUGGAGGAACACCAGUGGCGAAGGCGACUUUCUGGUCUGUAACUGACGCUGAUGUGCGAAAGCGUGGGGAUCAAACAGGAUUAGAUACCCUGGUAGUCCACGCCGUAAACGAUGAGUGCUAAGUGUUAGGGGGUUUCCGCCCCUUAGUGCUGCAGCUAACGCAUUAAGCACUCCGCCUGGGGAGUACGACCGCAAGGUUGAAACUCAAAGGAAUUGACGGGGACCCGCACAAGCGGUGGAGCAUGUGGUUUAAUUCGAAGCAACGCGAAGAACCUUACCAAAUCUUGACAUCCUUUGACAACUCUAGAGAUAGAGCUUUCCCCUUCGGGGGACAAAGUGACAGGUGGUGCAUGGUUGUCGUCAGCUCGUGUCGUGAGAUGUUGGGUUAAGUCCCGCAACGAGCGCAACCCUUAAGCUUAGUUGCCAUCAUUAAGUUGGGCACUCUAAGUUGACUGCCGGUGACAAACCGGAGGAAGGUGGGGAUGACGUCAAAUCAUCAUGCCCCUUAUGAUUUGGGCUACACACGUGCUACAAUGGACAAUACAAAGGGCAGCGAAACCGCGAGGUCAAGCAAAUCCCAUAAAGUUGUUCUCAGUUCGGAUUGUAGUCUGCAACUCGACUACGUGAAGCUGGAAUCGCUUAGUAUCUUAGAUCAACUUGCUACGGUGAAAACUUUCCCGGGUCU
rnacentral:rRNA from 1 species